rnacentral:rRNA from 1 species
GAUGAACGCUGGCGGCGUGCCUAAUACAUGCAAGUCGAGCGAACAGAUGAGGAGCUUGCUCCUCUGACGUUAGCGGCGGACGGGUGAGUAACACGUGGAUAACCUACCUAUAAGACUGGGAUAACUUCGGGAAGCCGGAGCUAAUACCGGAUAAUAUAUUGAACCGCAUGGUUCAAUAGUGAAGGACGGUUUUGCUGUCACUUAUAGAUGGAUCCGCGCCGCAUUAGCUAGUUGGUAAGGUAACGGCUUACCAAGGCAACGAUGCGUAGCCGACCCGAGAGGGUGAUCGGCCACACUGGAACUGAGACACGGUCCAGCCUCCUACGGGAGGCAGCAGUAGGGAAUCUUCCGCAAUGGGCGAAAGCCUGACGGAGCAACGCCGCGUGAGUGAUGAAGGUCUUCGGAUCGUAAAACUCUGUUAUUAGGGAAGAACAAAUGUGUAAGUAACUAUGCACGUCUUGACGGUACCUAAUCAGAAAGCCACGGCUAACUACGUG